GUGCCUAAUACAUGCAAGUAGAACGCUGAAGACUGGUGCUUGCACUAGUCAGAUGAGUUGCGAACGGGUGAGUAACGCGUAGGUAACCUACCUCAUAGCGGGGGAUAACUAUUGGAAACGAUAGCUAAUACCGCAUGACAAUUAAGUACUCAUGUACUAAAUUUAAAAGGAGCAAUUGCUUCACUAUGAGAUGGACCUGCGUUGUAUUAGCUAGUUGGUGAGGUAACGGCUCACCAAGGCCACGAUACAUAGCCGACCUGAGAGGGUGAUCGGCCACACUGGGACUGAGACACGGCCCAGACUCCUACGGGAGGCAGCAGUAGGGAAUCUUCGGCAAUGGGGGCAACCCUGACCGAGCAACGCCGCGUGAGUGAAGAAGGUUUCCGGAUCGUAAAGCUCUGUUGUUAGAGAAGAACGGUAAUGGGAGUGGAAAAUCCAUUACGUGACGGUAACUAACCAGAAAGGGACGGCUAACUACGUGCCAGCAGCCGCGGUAAUACGUAGGUCUCGAGCGUUGUCCGGAUUUAUUGGGCGUAAAGCGAGCGCAGGCGGUUAUUUAAGUCUGAAGUUAAAGGCCGUGGCUCAACCAUGGUUCGCUUUGGAAACUGGAUAACUUGAGUGCAGAAGGGGAGAGUGGAAUUCCAUGUGUAGCGGUGAAAUGCGUAGAUAUAUGGAGGAACACCGGUGGCGAAAGCGGCUCUCUGGUCUGUAACUGACGCUGAGGCUCGAAAGCGUGGGGAGCAAACAGGAUUAGAUACCCUGGUAGUCCACGCCGUAAACGAUGAGUGCUAGGUGUUAGGCCCUUUCCGGGGCUUAGUGCCGCAGCUAACGCAUUAAGCACUCCGCCUGGGGAGUACGACCGCAAGGUUGAAACUCAAAGGAAUUGACGG
rnacentral:rRNA from 1 species